AGCAGUGGCGGACCUAGAGAGUAUUUUGACUGGGGGCAAAGUAUUUGAAUGGGGGCAUACUCUUUCAAAAUGCAAAGAAUUUUAGCAUAUUUUUCAAAAAACACAAGCCAAUAUUACUGGAGUUUCAAAGUUUGAGUGGGGGCCUAGGCCCCCACUCACCUCAAUGUAGGUCCGCCCCUGGUGGACAGUGGCGUUCAUGCAAGAGCGUCCACGUCAUGCUCCGUUCCGAUUGACUGUUGGUGGCGCUCUGGUACUGCUCAAUGAGAUCCCUCAAGCUACAUCAUUGGAUAGUUGAACAUGAAAGAAGGAUGGUAUGGAAUCGACACAUGAUUCGGUUAUGUUUCGUUACAUCUAAGAUGUGUUGAAUGGGUUUCCUGGAACUAAUAGAUGGAUGGGUGCUAGGGCUGGGAUUGGGCUCGGAUGAAUUGCUCUGUCGAAUUUGUUCGCUGCUGUAUAGUAGUAUGUAUAGCAUAACUGUAACAGUGCCUUUCUGUUUCACAAAUAAAUGUAGUUUUCCGUGCAUUUCUCUCUGGUUGAAUAGAUCGAUUAGUUUUUCUCCUUUACUUUUUAUGUGGACGAACGCAGGGGUACUGCCACAUUUAUGCAUAUAUUACUGCUCAUUUGCAUUGGGCUAAUUGAUUUUGACAGCUUGUAGGCAAUGCAUGCCAAGAACAACCAAGUGGAUCCAUUUAAGAAACAAGAGUCAGAAGAUGUAGAUGUUGCAGAGAACCUGUCUGUACUGAAGUAGCGGAUGAGUAAGUAGGCUGUACACCUCCUGAUAGGGUGUACUGAUGCUCGUCGCUUUCAAUGAAUAGUUUGUCCUGUUUUUCUAUGACAGUGAUUAUUCUAUGCAAAUGUAGCAAUUUUAUAAGUUACUCAGUAUGUUUGUUGAAACCAGAGUUUGUAGAAACUAGAAAGGAUGGUGCUAUGUUCCUGUCCAACUGUCUUUUUUUCUGAAUGGUUUGUUUAGAACUUGUUCCUAGCAGAUUUGAAAAUUCUGGAGAUGAGAUUGCAGCAGUACACCCUAUCCCCUGAUGGAGAAAAGGAGCCUAGCGAAGAAUAUUGGGCUUGAGCUGGAACGUGAGGUGCUUUCACACCUUAGGGAUGUAGCACUCUCUGGUGCUCACACUCUCGGGUGGACAUACUCUUGGGAAGAGAUCGUCUGGAGAGCUUGGUAUUCGACUACGCUUUGCCAAAUGAUCCUCUGAAGUUUGAUAACUCCUACUUUAUGUAAGCUUAAUCGUCACGGUUGUUGAUUGCACAUUGGCUUAAGAUUAUAUAGAUGUAAUGUCAUCAGCGCAACAUUGUGAAGUUGUACAUCCCUGGACGUCAUCUUUUGUAUAUGCUGCAGUGAGCUUCUAAAAGGGUACUCCUGAAGUGGCUUACAGAACAGGUUCUCAUGGAGGAUCAACUUUCGGUCCCUUAUUGAAUUAUACGCAAAGGUAAAGAAGAGUUUAAUUCAUCUUCAUUUGCUUGUUGGAGAUGUUGGCAGGACGCGUUCUUUAGAGAUUACGCUGAUUCGCACAAGAAGCUUUCCGAGCUCUACUUUACUGGCAUGGACAUGCAGAGACGAAGCCAAGAGGGCUGUGAGGAGAACUACCACUGUCUUUGCAGUUGCGGUUGCCGUCAUCACCUGCGCUUACAUAUGUUAAUCCAAGAGGACGCUCAAUGGUUAGAUUGCAAGUCUCCAUGUGCAGAUGACUCCAGUUCAGUUAUGGGUUCUGAAGAACAAAGUUAAAUCAUAAUUUGAGAUGUUGUGUAGUCAUAGUUGUAACCAAUCUGCUGAUACAGUGAUGAGGGUGCAGAUGUACUAUCCAUGCAAGUAAAUUGCAAAU